rnacentral:lncRNA from 1 species
GUCCUAUUUUCAUGACCGGUCAGUUCAAAAUACGUUAUAAUUUCAAUUGGUCUUUCCUAUUUGGUGUAAUGAGUUAUCUUGAAAAGUACUGAUUAAAAAUUUGAAAUUUGAAAUUUCCAAAUAUUUUGAUUAUUUUUCUAUGUUUCUGCUAUUUAUUUGUGGCUUUACUUCCAAUCUAGUAGGAGAACAUACAUUGUAUGCUUUCAAUCAUUUGACAUUUCUUAAGACUUUUUCAUGACUCAGAAUGUGCUCUUUUUGUUCAAUGUUCCAUGACCAUGUGGAAAGUGUAUAUUCUUUCUUAUAUCAAGUAGGUGAAAUUGGUUAAUGAUGUUAGGUGCUUUAUAAAGAAAAGAGGUUUAUUUGGCUCAUAAUUCUUCAGGCUGUACAAGAAGUAUGGUAUCAGCAUUUGCUUCUGAUGAGAGCCUCAAGCUACUUACACUCAUGGCAGAAGGUGAAGGGGAGCUGGUAUGUGCAGAGAUCACAUGGUGAGAGAGGAAACAAAAGAGGAAGGAGAGGAAGGUGCUAGGCUCUUUUUAACAACCAGCUAUCAUGGGAACUACUAGAGCAAGAACUCAGUCAUUAGCCAUUCAUGAGGGAUUCACCCUCAUGACUCAAACACCUUCCAUCAAGCCUCAUCUACACCAUUGGGGAUCAAAAUUCAACAUGAGGUUGAGGGGAAAAUAUCCACAUUAUAAUAAUAUGUUAAAAGUUUUAUAAUUUCUGGGACAUCUUCAAAUACUUUUCUUUCUCCUUAACAGGUCAAUGACAUCUAGUUUGAAUAGAAGACUCCGGAAUUAUGACUCUAUUUCUUUCUGUAAUUCAUAGAUAUUAUUCUAGUCUUCUGCAUUCUAGUGUUGUAGAUCUCCCAGUGUUUCUUGAACUCCUGGGGAAAACCCCCUCACUAGUAUUCUCUGCUGGUGCUUCUACACAACUGAAGACCUCACUGAACCUGGGAGCCUAUAGACCUCAGUAGAGGCCGAAGAAGAUACAGCUGAAUCAAAAUUGGACAAGGAAGAAAGAUGACAAUGUGUCUAUUGCCAUCAGGCAAUGUUAAUUUUAACUUUUAAGAUGUUUCUUGUGGGCCUUCCCCCACAUGUCACUCCCAUAGUACCGUUCUCUAGGAGAUAAAAGCUAUGUUCAUAAAAUAAUCCAUGUUGUUGGUUAAUAAUUUAUUCUUCCAAUGAAAGUUGUUUGCAACUUUUAUAAAAUCACAACCUUUUAUAAACACUAACUUAAUCUAAAGUCAUGUAUCUGUUUGUAGGACUUUUAAAUAUCAUGACAAGCUAGGGAGGAAGACAUUUUCUGUGUGAAUCCCAUUAUAAUCAUCCUAGAAAUGGAAUUGCUGCAACAUAGGAUGUGAACACAUUCAGCUUUCUUAGAUAUUACUAGGAAUUUUACCAAUAGCAGUGCAUAAAACUGUUGUUACUCCUCACCCUCUGCAAUGCUUGAAGGCAUAAGAUAUUUAAAGUUCUAGAAGUCUGAUAUGUAUAAAAUAUUAAAUUAUUGUGACAUUAAUUUUUAUUAUGUGCCAUUUGGAUAACUUCUUUUGUGAAUUGACUAUUCAUAUUAUUUAUUUCACACUAGAAUUUUUUUUUUUUUUUUUUUUUUGAGACAGUCUCACUCUGUCCCUAGGCUGGAGUGCAGUGGUGCAAUCUCGGCUCACUGCAAGCUCCGCCUCCCAGGUUCAAGUGAUUCUCCUGCUUCAGCCUCCCAAGAAGCUGUGACUACAGGUGCCUGCCACCACGCCCAGCUAAUUUUUGUAUUUUUAGUAGAAACGGGGUUUCAUCAUGUUAGCCAGGAUGGUCUCGAUCUCUUGACCACGUGAUCUGCUCACCUUGGCCUCCCAAAGUGCUGGGAUUACAGGCAUGAGCCACCAUGCCUGGCCUAUUUCACACUAGAUUUUAUCUUUACUUACUGGUAGGUGGCCUUUGAAUAGUCUAGGAAUGAAUCUUGUGCUGAAAGAUUGUAAAUACUUUCUUCCAAAUCUGUGACUUGCCUUUCAGAUUACAGUUUUAAUGCUAGAAUUGUCAAAUUUAUCAGUAUUUCUGUUAGAGGUGGUACCUUUAGUUCUUGUAUUCUCAUUUUAAAAGUCUUUUUCUUUUUCUACCCUGAAAUUAUCCUAUGUGUUCUUGUAAAACAUUUUUAGUAUUGUUCUCCAUAUUUAAGAUAUUUCCAUCUGGAAUUUAUUUUUGUAUGGUGUGAGAUAUGGAUAUAACCUAGAAAUAUAAUUAUGUUUUCCUUAAUAUAAGCCAAAUUUUAUUUGGUUAUUUAUUUUAUAAGCUCUAUUUAUUACACCUUUUCCUCACUGAUUCCCCACUGGCCAGUAAGGUCACUACUGUUUUACACCAAAUUCCACAAUAUGAGUCUAUUUCUUGCCUCUCUCGUCUAUUUGUCUAUCUCUGAAUCAAGCCCAGGGAUCAAUGUUUUGUUGUUAUGGGGAACGGAAUUUUUGAGAAGCUCACUGGUUAAUGUCCUCUAACCUACUGGCAAAAGAUUGUUGGAAAUACCUAACCACCAGAGGCAAGGUAGAUGUAAUUAAUAUCAUGACAUCAAGACCAGAGAGGUACUUAGGUGCUUGACAUAAAUAAUAAUGUCUAUACAGUUGAGACAUAAGAACAGCUAAGUUCUAAAUUGUUUGGUGUAAUAAAAAAAGAAAUUAAGACCCAGUGAGCAGAAAACUGAUGUCAGGUACCAUAAUGGAAAAUCACCAUAUUCAUCCAGCUUCUAGAUCUA